UUUUUUUUUUUUUUUUUUUUUUUUUUUGUGAAUUAACCUUGGCUCUUAUGUCAUCAAUUUACUUUAGCUCUUGGUUCAUAAUACAAAAUUCUGAACAUUUUAGUACUUGAAAGUUUGGUUUGUUAAUUGAACAAUGUGGGCUCCUCCACCACCUCCAAUGGCUGACAACAUACGAGGAAUUCACACAGAUGAAAUCCAAAUUUGAGAAUAUUAGAGGCUUUAAAAUUGUUGUGAUGCUAUUGAUGCCACUCGUAUAUUAUGAAGUUGCCGUCAGCAACGGAUCGAACAACUGAUGUUUGGCUUGACGUUAAGGACAACCACAUUAUGAUUUUGCUGGUGAUUGUUGACCCUGCCAUGAGAUUCAGUGAUGUAGUUAUGGGAUAUACCGGGUAAAUCGAUGAAGCACCCAUUCUUAAAAAAACUAAUUUUUAUGAUUUAUCAGAGAAACGAGAGAGGCUAAACGAAGUUGGUGGCACAUCGGGCUUUGGCCUACUUGAAAGAUGUCUAGAAGAUGAUUCAUGGAGUGAUGUGGGGACCUGACAGAUUAUAAAGGUUGCUAAUGCAAGUGUUACAAAAACGGAUGCUUUUUUAGAGAAAGCUUGCCACGCACGUAUAUUGGAUCACUUUGCCGAUCAUGCUGAUGAUUCUGGAUCUAAUCAAGUUGCUAAAGAUUGUUAAUUACCUCUAUUUCAUAACUCUCUACAACGAUUGAAAUCUACUAUUUGUCCGACUUCAGAUUCACAUGAGAUUCUCUAUUUAUGGGUGAAUAUUGUUGUUGAUUUGAUUUAGAAGAAGCGGAUGCAAGUUUAUUGUAAAAGUUUUUGUUCGAGCACUAAUGAAAGCGUCUAAUGUGCCAAUAUGUACCCUGUUGCAACGCGCCGGAUACUUUUACUAGUUUAUGUUACUUUGAAACUUUUGUAAAUUUAUGUUACUUUGAAACCUUGGUAAUUUAUAUUCUUGGGUUAUU
rnacentral:lncRNA from 1 species